rnacentral:rRNA from 1 species
UACAGAGGGUGCAAGCGUUAAUCGGAAUUACUGGGCGUAAAGGGUGCGUAGGUGGUUAAUUAAGUCAGAUGUGAAAUCCCAAGGCUUAACCUUGGAAUUGCAUUUGAUACUGGUUAGCUAGAGUACAGAAGAGGGAAGUGGAAUUUCCGGUGUAGCGGUGAAAUGCGUAGAUAUCGGAAGGAACAUCAGUGGCGAAGGCGACUUCCUGGUCUGUUACUGACACUGAGGCACGAAAGCGUGGGGAGCGAACAGG